rnacentral:tRNA from 1 species
GACAAGGUGGCUGAAUGGUUAAGGCUACGGACUGCAACUCCGUUUUUUACAGGUUCGAUUCCUGUUCUUGUCU